rnacentral:misc_RNA from 1 species
GAUGAAGAACGUAGUGAAAUGCGAUACGUAAUGUGAAUUGCAGAAUUCCGUGAAUCAUCGAAUCUUUGAACGCACAUUGCGCCCCCUGGCAUUCCGGGGGGCAUGCCUGUCCGAGCGUCAUUUCUGCCCUCCAGCCCGGCUGGGUGUUGGGCGCUGUCCCCCCGGGGACACGCCCCAAAGGCAGUGGCGGCGCCGCGUCGGGUCCUCGAGCGUAUGGGGCUUUGUCACCCGCUCGGGACGGACUCGUCGGCGCUGGUCUUCCUCCAGGCGACCCUUCGGGGCUCGUCUUCCUUCGGUUGACCUCGGAUCAGGUAGGGUUACCCGCUGAACUUAAGCAUAUCAAUAAGCGGAGGA